CUGGCUGGUAUCUGCUAUGGUGUUGCUAAGGUGUUGCUAAGUGGUUGCUAAGGUGUUGCUAUGGUAUCUGGGGUGGUUGCUAAGGUGUUGCUAGGCGGUUGCUAAGGUGUUGCUAUGGUAUCCGGGGGGGUUGCUAAGGUGUUGCUAGGUGGUUGCUAGGUGGUUGCUAAGGUGUUGCU